UACAGAGGUCCCGAGCGUUGUUCGGAUUCACUGGGCGUAAAGGGUGCGUAGGUGGCGAGGUAAGUCGGAUGUGAAAGCUCGGAGCUCAACUCCGAAAUGGCAUUGGAAACUACCUUGCUCGAGGGUUGGAGGGGGGACUGGAAUACUUGGUGUAGCAGUGAAAUGCGUAGAUAUCAAGUGGAACACCAGUGGCGAAGGCGAGUCCCUGGACAACUCCUGACACUGAGGCACGAAAGCUAGGGGAGUAAACAGG
rnacentral:rRNA from 1 species